UACAGAGGUCUCAAGCGUUGUUCGGAUUCAUUGGGCGUAAAGGGUGCGUAGGCGGCGCGGUAAGUCGGGUGUGAAAUCUCGGAGCUUAACUCCGAAACUGCAUUCGAUACUGCCGUGCUUGAGGACUGGAGAGGAGACUGGAAUUUACGGUGUAGCGGUGAAAUGCGUAGAUAUCAGGAGGAACACCGGUGGCGAAGGCGGUGGUCUGGGCCGGCACUGACGCUGAGGAGCGAAAGCGUGGGGAGCAAACAGG
rnacentral:rRNA from 1 species